CCCGCUGGAGCCAGCGAGUGGGCCCAGCCGAGCGAGGCUCACUUCCGGGACGCGGCGCGCCGACCCCUUCCCGGCUUCCCGUCAGCUCUCCUCAGCAGUAGUGUCGGCGGGUACAGUCAGGAGGAACUGCCCGUCCCGGGGUCCUGUGCGCGUGUAGAGGAGGGAGCGCUCGCCUCUUUGGUCGCCUGGUGAGGCUCUGGAAGAGGGUGCGACGGAUAUAGGGACUCGAGGUCCGCCGCGGGAAUGAUCCACGAACUGCUCUUGGCUCUGAGCGGGUAUCCAGGGUCCAUUUUCACCUGGAACAAGCGGAGUGGCCUGCAGGUGUCACAGGACUUCCCAUUUCUCCAUCCCAGUGAAACCAGUGUCCUGAAUCGACUCUGCCGGCUGGGCACAGACUACAUUCGUUUCAUCGAGUUCACUGAACAGUACACGGGCCAUGUGCAGCAGCAGGAUCACCAUCCAUCUCAGCAGGGCCAAGGUGGGUCACAUGGAAUCUACCUAAGGGCCUUCUGCACGGGGCUGGAUUCAGUUUUGCAGCCUUAUCGCCAAGCACUGCUUGAUUUGGAACAAGAGUUCCUGGCUGACCCCCAUCUCUCCAUAUCUCAUGUCAAUUACUCCUUAGAUCAGUUCCAGCUCCUUUUCCCCUCUGUGAUGGUUGUAGUAGAACAAAUUAAAAGUCAAAAGAUUCAUGGUUGUCAAAUCCUGGAAACAGUGUACAAACACAGCUGUGGAGGUUUGCCUCCUGUUCGCAGUGCACUAGAAAAAAUCCUGGCCGUGUGUCACGGGGUCAUGUACAAGCAGCUCUCAGCCUGGAUGCUACAUGGACUCCUCUUGGACCAGCAUGAAGAAUUCUUUAUCAAACAGGGUCCAUCUUCUGGUAAUGUCAGUGCCCAGCCAGAAGAGGAUGAGGAGGAUCUGGGCAUUGGGGGACUGACAGGAAAACAACUGAGAGAACUCCAGGACUUGCGCCUGAUAGAAGAAGAGAACAUGCUGGCACCAUCUCUAAAGCAGUUUUCUCUGCGAGUGGAGAUUCUGCCGUCCUACAUUCCAGUGAGGGUUGCUGAAAAAAUCCUGUUUGUUGGAGAAUCUGUCCAGAUGUUCGAGAAUCAAAAUGUAAACCUGACUAGAAAAGGAUCCAUUUUGAAAAACCAGGAGGACACUUUUGCUGCAGAGCUGCAUCGUCUCAAGCAGCAACCCCUCUUCAGCCUGGUGGACUUUGAGCAGGUGGUGGAUCGUAUACGUAGUACUGUGGCUGAGCAUCUCUGGAAGCUGAUGGUGGAAGAGUCAGAUUUACUGGGUCAGCUGAAGAUCAUUAAAGACUUUUACCUUCUGGGACGUGGAGAACUGUUUCAGGCCUUCAUUGAUACAGCUCAACACAUGUUAAAAACACCACCCACUGCAGUAACUGAACAUGAUGUGAAUGUGGCCUUCCAACAGUCAGCACACAAGGUGCUGCUAGAUGAUGACAACCUCCUCCCUCUGUUGCACUUAACAAUCGAGUAUCAUGGAAAGGAGCAUAAAGAUGCUACUCAGGCAAGAGAAGGGCCUUCUCGGGAAACUUCUCCCCGGGAAGCCCCCGCAUCCGGCUGGGCAGCCCUAGGUCUUUCCUAUAAAGUGCAGUGGCCACUACACAUUCUCUUCACACCUGCUGUCCUGGAAAAGUACAAUGUCGUUUUCAAGUACUUGCUGAGUGUGCGCCGGGUACAAGCUGAGCUGCAGCACUGCUGGGCCCUACAGAUGCAGCGCAAGCACCUCAAGUCCAACCAGACCGACGCAGUCAAGUGGCGCCUAAGAAAUCACAUGGCCUUCUUGGUGGAUAAUCUUCAGUACUACCUCCAGGUUGACGUGCUGGAGUCUCAGUUCUCACAGCUGCUUCAUCAAAUCAAUUCUACCCGAGACUUUGAAAGCAUCCGAUUGGCUCACGACCACUUCCUGAGCAAUUUGCUGGCCCAGUCCUUUAUCUUGUUGAAACCUGUGUUUCACUGCCUGAAUGAAAUCUUAGAUCUCUGCCACAGCUUUUGCUCGCUGGUCAGUCAGAACCUGGGCCCACUGGAUGAACGUGGGGCUGCCCAGCUGAGCAUCCUGGUGAAGGGUUUUAGCCGCCAGUCUUCACUCCUAUUCAAGAUUCUCUCCAGUGUUCGCAAUCAUCAGAUCAACUCGGAUUUGGCUCAACUACUGUUACGACUAGAUUAUAACAAAUAUUACACCCAGGCUGGUGGCACUCUGGGCAGUUUCGGGAUGUGAGAAUUUCUGGUCCACAAACUAAGUAAGUCAAUCCCCUGCGUUGUAACAGAAGAUUCAAAACAAACAUCCCAUUCUCUGGCCAGACAGACACUGUAUGUCUGCAGCUGCUGGAAAAGCUCUACCUUUUCUCCUAGAAGCAGUUAUUGAACAUCCAUGGAUACAAAUCCUCCCCCCUCCUUCCCAUGUGGAAGGGGCACCUGCCCCACCUUAGGGGAGUUCUUAACUCAUCCACCAAGGAGGACUUGUGGCGUCAGCCCUCCCUCUGCUGACCAUGCAGGAUCUGUUACAUUGAGAACAUUUGUCGGAUAUGUUCAUUUACUGAGCACCUAUGUGCCUAGGUACUGUUCAAACUGGGAGAGACACAGCAGUAAGCUAUACAGAUCAGAACGUUAAAUGGCUCAUGUGAAAAAGGAAUUACAUUUAUUAAUAAGUCAAAUUCUGGAUGUUACCACUGAGCAAGAAAGGCACCAGAAAAAAAAGAUAUUUAAGCCCACUUCAGAGAAUGAGAGGACAUCAACAGGGAUGAUGCCAGGAGUACAGAAGGAACAGCUUCCAGCAACUGUGGAACAGUAAUAAAAUUUUGGACCUCUGGCUAGAGCUUCUAACAAACAUUUCCAAGUGUUAUCACUGUUUCUCAUGUUUAUCCUUGCAGCAAGUCGUCCAGUUUAUAGUCACCACCCUUUCACAACAAUUGGUCCUUUUCCCUUUUGGCUCUGAGAGUACAGUACCCACAGGUCAGCUGUUAGUGAGCUCAACUCUAAAGAGAGAUUUUUUUUUUUCAUUGCCAGAAAACUAAGAGCUGUGCCCAAUCCCACUCAACUUCUGCCACAACUAUAAAUUUGGGCCUAUUGUAAAAUCAGGUUUUUGAAAGUGCUGAAUUUUAGACAGACAGCCCAGGUUAAUCUUUUGACAAUGAUACCACAGAAAACUUUAAAAAAAUUCACUCCUUGUUAUUUUUCCUUGGCUAGCUGUCCUACAGUGAACAAGCCCAUUGAAAACUGCAGAGAAGGUAGUAUGUUUGUCUUGCUAUUUGUUGAGAUUAAGCUCAAAGAAAUGGAUGAAGAAAUCCCAGUUACUACAACCAGAGAUUCAACAUUUAUUUUAUCAUAAAAGUCCAGCAAAUAAAAGUAUAUACAAGAUCCAUGCAAGGAAUCCGGUUACACACAAGACACAUUUAAAACCUGGUUAAAACACAGUCUCCACAACACCAGGGAAUAAAACCAGUAAGACCGAGUAUCCUUAGUGAGAAACAUAAUCGUGUUUAUAUUUUGGAUGCUGCUUGAAUCCAAUUCUCUGCCCAACAAUGAGGCACUGGAUCACCCACUCUUGUGACACCACAGGCAGCUGCAAUGCUUCAGCACACUUCAGCACCGAGGCUGGGCACGAGGGGUCCGUCACCACCACAUCAAAUACCCCUAAAGCAAUAUCUGCAGGAAGCAGGGGAAGGUGAGUGAGGAAAGGAGACUCAAUUUAGCCCUCCAGUAAAAAGACAGAUGAGCCUUCUCACCAGUAUAUCCCGCUCUGCCCAAACUAAAGCCCUUCAUGUCAAACACAGUGCCACUGAUCACAAUCAAAAGUGAAAAGUCACAAUCACUAUAUGCUGGCCUUGAGUUUAGCAGGUAUACCGGUGGACACCAGGAGAAGCAUAAACAGCCCGGUGCGUCACUCAUGUUGGCUCACCUCUUGAAGGUGGUACUUUUCUUCUCUUAGAAACACGGGUAAGGUCAGCCUAUCAGGACUGAGACUUAGACCACAAGGCCUAAGUGCCACGGGUCAUGGACAUCCUUGGAGCAAUAACAACACACACACACUUUCCAGGUACCUUUGUUAUGGGCACUUGAAUGGUGCUGCUUCACAGAGGCUGCCCCCCCAGUCAUGAGGAUCUCAGACCAGAGCUCCAGGAAGUUCUGCUGUUGGUCUGAUACCAAGAGUACCUUCAGAUUCUGGAAAGGGUUUUCACGGGGUUGCCUACAAAGGAGUCAGAGAAACAGCACGACAGGUAAUAGCCAAUGACAGCCUUUCUGCAAAGGGACGCAGGUACAGCUGACUGCUUUCAAUAGCCCUGCAUUAGGGUAUCACCGCCCCUUCCCUCUUUCUCUGAAUGAUGUGUCUUUUCUGGGAUCCUGACCUUCUCAUCUACCCCUUCUGAUUUCCAUGUUUAUUCUGAGGCCAAGUAUAAGCCAAAUCAUGCUCCCAAGCCUGUAUUUUUAAACGUGUUGCUUAAAACAAGUUGAGAAUAUUGAAUCUACAUGAAAAUCUCACACGUUUUCAAAAGGUCCCUAACCAAUAUACUCUAGGAUAACAAACUAGAUGAACUGCUAAAAUAAUCUCAAACCCACUCAAAUUCUGUAAUUUAUCCUAUGAUCAUUCUAGUUUCUAGAAAUAUUUACUCUCCUAGAUUCUCCCCCUCUGGAAGCUUGCUGUCUUCCUGUCUGCCGUUCUAGAUGGGCUCUCAGCUACUCACCAAUCCAGAAUUCUUUGCUCGUCGAGGCUGUACCCAGCUGGCAGCAGAUAAUUGCGGUAAUUCUGGAGCUGGUUGGCAUGGCAACUAUCAUGGACCCAGACAUGAGACACACAAGGAAUCCCACUGGCAAGGCACAGGAAGUACUUCCGGGUUCGACAAUGCUGAUCCGCAAUUAGGAGACACUGGUAGGCUGUAUUACACUGGAAGAAAAGGAACGGCACCCAUGGGUCUAGUGACUUCUAGGGAAAGCCCCUGAAUAGCAGCCUUAAUGAGUCAUAGAGAACAGAUCUGAACACUUCCAUAUACUAUCCAAAAUGUGACUGAGUCUGUCCUUCUGCCCAAGGCCUCUUCUCUCACUAAAAAUCCCAAGUAGCUUCCCUAGAUAAUCUCCCUGCCUCACCUGCAGCUUUCUGGGGGCCUAAAUCCUCAAGGGACAACCAAACCCCAAGUAUUUAGCCAACACUAUAAUAGGGAUUGCUAUUAAACACCAAUUUUAAUCUGCUUUUGUCCCAGCCAACAGAACCACAGCUAUUAAGUAACCCAAGGUUCUAACUUCUCUUCCUUGUACACAGUAAAAAUUCUGUUUCAUGCAACAAUGUUUUGGCAGUUUCCCAGUUCCUGAAAUCUCUAGUGACUGUACCCAUCGUCCCCGGCCCCUAUCAGCCUUCUUCUCGGUACAGCAAGUGGACUCUUCUCAUCACUGCCCCUUUGGGAAUCUACACAAAGAAACUCCUCACCUGGGCUUCAUUGAAGUCUUCGAGAACAUAGCCAGCUCCUGCUCGAAGCUGGGAUUCUGUGUAUUGCUUGUUGAAAGGAGGAAUUUCUAAAAAUUCUAUUAAAGAGACAU